CUCCUUCAGUGUGCCGAAGAGAUACUGAGUUCUUCCAGAUUUUUGCUUAGCUGGGUAGUUUCUAAACUCAACAGACUCUCCAGGAAAGAAACAGAGACAUGAAGAGGUUAAGACAAGUGACGGAGGUCUCAGGGCCAGGCAGGGAAAGAGUGACUUGUUUUGGAGGGUGGGAGCCCACCCACACAAUCAACCACAGUCACCCAGAUCUGCCCACUGAGCAUGCCUGCCCCUCGUCCUGACAUAACUGAUUAGGAAAUGAUUUCUAAAUGGUCAAGAGUCCAGCCUCGAUAGCCACUUCUCUGAUUCCAACAGAAUUUCUACAGAAGACAAUUUCCUUGUCUCAGCAAGAAAGACUGUGGGGAAUAAGAACUUUAAAAAUAUCGAAUAUGCCUGGUAGAUGCUGCCUUAAGUGAAGCAAGACUCCUGAUAUUCACAAGAAGAGACAAUAUAAAAGGAAAUUGAAGACCGGGCAUAGUGGCUCAUACCUGCAAUCCCAGCAAUUUGG
rnacentral:lncRNA from 1 species